AGAAGAUACUCUUUCCACUGAUUUUCAAGAAAAAAGUUCUAAGUUCAGCAAAAUGAGAAGUAGUCAGAAGCUUCUCCAUACUAUGGGUCGGAAGGGUUAUUCACGUAUGGCUCACGAUUUGAAAAGAAAGAAUCCAAAUAU